rnacentral:rRNA from 1 species
UACAGAGGGUGCAAGCGUUAAUCGGAAUUACUGGGCGUAAAGCGUGCGCAGACGGUUGCGUAAGUCAGAUGUGAAAGCCCCGGGCUCAACCUGGGAAUUGCAUCUGAGACUGCGUAGCUAGGGUGCGGAAGAGGGAAGCGGAAUUUCCGGUGUAGCGGUGAAAUGCGUAGAUAUCGGAAGGAACACCAGUGGCGAAAGCGGCUUCCUGGUCCAGCACCGACGUUCAGGCACGAAAGCGUGGGGAGCAAACAGG